GUCCCCAGCAAAUUAAUGUGUUAGUCUAAGAGAGUUGUUAAUAGAAAUACAUAGGUGUAUAGUUUAGGUCCCCAGCCAAAUUAAUGUGUUAGUCUAAGAGAGUUGUUAAUAGAAAUACAUAGGUGUAUAGUUUAGGUCCCCAGCCAAAUUAAUGUGUUAGUCUAAGAGAGUUGUUAAUAGAAAUACAUAGGUAUAGUUUAGGUCCCCAGCCAAAUUAAUGUGUUAGUCUAAGAGAGUUGUUAAUAGAAACACAUAGGUGUAUAGUUUAGGUCCCCAGCCAAAUUAAUGUGUUAGUCUAAGAGAGUUGUUAAUAGAAAUACAUAGGUGUAUAGUUUAGGUCCCCAGCCAAAUUAAUGUGUUAGUCUAAGAGAGUUGUUAAUAGAAAUACAUAGGUGUAUAGUUUAGGUCCCCAGCCAAAUUAAUGUGUUAGUCUAAAAGAGUUGUUAAUAGAAAUACAUAGUUAUAGUUUAGGUCCCCAGCCAAAUUGAUGUGUUAGUCUAAGAGAGUUGUUAAUAGAAAUACAUAGGUAUAGUUUAGGUCCCCAGCCAAAUUAAUGUGUUAGUCUAAAAGAGUUGUUAAUAGAAAUACAUAGGUGUAUAGUUUAGGUCCCCAGCCAAAUUAAUGUGUUAGUCUAAGAGAGUUGUUAAUAGAAAUACAUAGGUGUAUAGUUUAGGUCCCCAGCCAAAUUGAUGUGUUAGUCUAAGAGAGUUGUUAAUAGAAAUACAUAGGUGUAUAGUUUAGGUCCCCAGCCAAAUUAAUGUGUUAGUCUAAGAGAGUUGUUAAUAGAAAUACAUAGGUGUAUAGUUUAGGUCCCCAGCCAAAUUAAUGUGUUAGUCUAAGAGAGUUGUUAAUAGAAAUACAUAGGUGUAUAGUUUAGGUCCCCAGCAAAUUAAUGUGUUAGUCUAAGAGAGUUGUUAAUAGAAAUACAUAGGUGUAUAGUUUAGGUCCCCAGCUAAAUUAAUGUGUUAGUCUAAGAGAGUUUUUAAUAGAAAUACAUGGGUAUAGAUGAGGUCCCCAGCCAAAUUAAUGUGUUAGUCUAAGAGAGUUGUUAAUAGAAAUACAUAGGUGUAUAGUUUAGGUCCCUAGCCAAAUUAAUGUGUU